rnacentral:rRNA from 1 species
CCUACGGGAGGCAGCAGUGGGGAAUAUUGGACAAUGGGGGGAACCCUGAUCCAGCCAUGCCGCGUGUGUGAAGAAGGCCCUCGGGUUGUAAAGCACUUUCAGUGAGGAAGAACGCCUGGUGGUUAAUACCCAUCAGGAAAGACAUCACUCACAGAAGAAGCACCGGCUAACUCCGUGCCAGCAGCCGCGGUAAUACGGAGGGUGCGAGCGUUAAUCGGAAUUACUGGGCGUAAAGCGCGCGUAGGUGGCUUGAUAAGCCGGUUGUGAAAGCCCCGGGCUCAACCUGGGAAAGGCAUCCGGAACUGUCAAGCUAGAGUGCAGGAGAGGAAGGUAGAAUUCCCGGUGUAGCGGUGAAAUGCGUAGAGAUCGGGAGGAAUACCAGUGGCGAAGGCGGCCUUCUGGACUGACACUGACACUGAGGUGCGAAAGCGUGGGUAGCAAACAGGAUUAGAUACCCUGGUAGUC